AAAGUAUGAUGAGGACAUUUUCUAAAUUUUUUUAAAAUCUCUCCCAAUUCUCAUAAAUGGAUUCUCCUGCAAACUAUGUAAAUGAAGUGAUAUAAAUUCUAAGUUC